AAAAUGGUGCGCGAACACUUGUAAGAUAAAUAUGGAUCUUGGAGGACAAGAGACUCACAUUUUUGGAGUCUUCCAAAAACCAGAAGACCUUGUAUUUCCAUCUCAAUUACUAUCAGUGGGUGUAAAUAUACCAUUAAAUCCACCUCUCACAAAGGAUCCAACAAAAAAAGAGUAGCAGUGAUUGACGUAAUAAAUGAUCAAUGCUAAACAACGA
rnacentral:misc_RNA from 1 species